AGAAAGAAAGGAAGAGGGAUAAGGUCCUGCAGUGUGAGUUUUGGGAACUAGGCAGAAGACUGAAGAACAGAACCUCAAGGGUGGCGUUCUCAGGAUUGCUGCCAGUACUACGUGAUAGUGAUGCACGAAGCUCCCUGGUACAGAUAUAAAAUAAUGUCUGGGAAAGAACUGAAACUGAAUUCAGAAAAUUGCAUCUGCACUGGAAUGUGUGAAGAGGAGGGUUGUAAAGAUGUCAUCAGGACUGGAAAAUUGUAGUUGCAGGGUAAAACUGGAUAAAGUGGAGAUAAAAUAAAGAACAAUGAGAAGGCAUCGGAUUUCGGGGGACUUUCGCUGUGGAAUAUAUAUACCCAAGUCUCUGAGUAGCAUAGACGUUCUUCCACCAAGUGAACACCAGAGGGCAGCUUCAAGUGAACACCAGAGGGCAGUUUCGAGUGAACACUGGAGGGCAGCUUCGAGUGAACACUGGAGGGCAGCUCCGAGUGAACACUGGAGGGCAGUUUUGAGUGAACACCGGAGGGCAGCUUCGAGUGAACACUGGAGGGCAGCUCCGAGUGAACACCAGAGGGGAGCACUGCCUCGGUGUCUCAAGUUAUGUAGAUGAUUAGAAUUAAUUGUUUGUAUAAAUUGUACUGUAUUUCAACAAAUGACUAUAUACUGCAACAGGACUGAAUACUUUAACAGGACUUGCAGUAUUCUACGUCACCAAUAUCCAGCAGGGUCUUACGAUCAGAAUAAAUUUGUUCAAGACAAUCACUCGCACCUUCUCAACACAAUGGUACACAACAAACCCAGGUGAUGACACAACAACAGUACACAGUUAAGACCUGCUCCAUCGCUUUCAAGCAACUCGCUGAUGGGAUAGUCCUUCAGUACUUGACCUUCUUAAUAUCCAGCCGCGACUUACCAUCAUAAAAAGGACAUACAAGAUGAACAAAGGCAUCUUUGAUUGGAUCCAGAGUGGCUGCUGAAUCUGAGCACAUAACCAUCUUACCGGUAACCUAGGAGAGACUUAAUUACACGAUAUAAACCCUGAAGGGCCUAGACUAAUUUUCUUAGGCAGAGGAGUCAAUAAUUAGUGGACGUAAAUUUAAGAGAAUAGGUAGAAGGAUUAGAGAGAAGUUGAAGAAAAUGUUUUCACCAGGAGGGUGAUAGAGGUUUGGAGUUUACUGCCAGAUAGUAUGCUAGAGACAGGAACACUCAUUAUAAUAAUGCAUACUUCGAUGUAUCUGUGAAGGGCAGUGAGCUGCAGAACUAAGGAUGUGGUGCUGAAAGGUAGGAUUAGAUUGGCAACUCUUUUUUUCACAGAAACAAUGGGCUGUAUGGCUUCCUGUGUCAUAAAUUUUCAAUGAAUUUUUGAAAUAUCGUGUGGUAAAAUAGCAGCUGACUUAGACACUCGUAUUUCUGCUGCCAAGUGUGAAAGAAAUGUGGAUGUUCAAAUUGCCAGAGCAUUUGUAAGCAUUCCCACAAGCCAACAUAUUUUCAGCAGUGUGGGCUGCUAAUGUAUUACAUAAUUAAAUGCUCAGGUGGCUAAUCACUGUUGUUAUCUCUGCAGUUCAGAGAGUUCUGGUCCAUUGAUUAAACUGGAGUUUAUCACAGGAACUGGAUCUGCUGUACAGUUUUACUGCUGGGUUCAUUUAUAUUCUCGAGAUAUUUAUCAAUGGUGACAGGAAACUAAUGGAGGUCCAUGCAGUGCAAUAGAAGCUAGAAUUCAAGUAAGCUGGUGAGGAAUGAAAGGAUCAAUAUCAAAAGAAUAGUAAAUAGCCAUGUGGUUCUGCUUAAGGGCCGCCAGUGACAUUUAUUUGAUUAUUUUCUGCAUUUUAAGAAUUGUAAAUUAUCAGAAAAUUUUGGAUAUAAUAACUAAGUUAUUGAGACUUUUAAACUGCCAUUAACUAGUACAGUACCAGCAUAAUUGAGAAAAUUAUUUACUAAAUAUUUAAUAUACAUUCAUAUCUUGUCCCAUCACAAAUAAAUUUUGUUCCUCAUCACCCAGAGCAUUUAAACCAUGCAUUUAAACAUACUUUUUGCUCAGUCUGUACCAAGUUGAAAAUAGUUGGCCAUUCCAGUACUAAGCAGUGGCCAAAGAAAAGAAUCAGUAGACUAUCUUUUCCAAGAAGAAUACUGACUUGGAAAAUGGACUGGAGGAUAGUGAAUAUCACUAAAACCAUACCCAAGCACAAAGGGGCACAACUGGUACUAAUAGUUAAACAAGUAAAAGCCAGUGUGUUAAUUAUGCACAGGGAAAGCUUUAAGACAGCUAAAGAUUAAUGAAGUAAUACUUCUAGAGUUUUAAGGUAGCAAUAGUUGUUAACCAAUAAUUUCCUAAUUUCUCUUGACAUUUUACCAGAUAUAAAAUUGAAAUAGAGGAUCAUAUUGCGUUGAUAAGUGAUACCAGAGAAAUAUUGUCCCUUCAGUGUUUUUGUUUACAGAAGCAUGGCAGCAAUACAUUUUUGCAAAAUAUACAUGAUAAAUCCUCCUGAAAUUUCAGUAUUCUGUAGGUUUAUGCCUCUUAAUUCUGAUACUGCUUGACCAGAGUUUAUUUGUUUAUUACGUACCACCAUAAAUCUGUUUAUGGCAUUUUGGGGAAAGAUUAAAGCCAAUGAUUUUGGCUCUUUCAGUUGAUUCUGUUCCUCAUCAUAUCACUGCCGGAUGCUGUAAGGUACCACUUGCAACCUUAAGAGUUUGUUCAACCAUGAGUUUUCCAGACUUUAAAUACUCUCUUUCACUAAGGUUGUUUAUUUAUGCUUCUCCAGUAUUACCUGUCCAAGUAUUGUACAAAGCAUUAUAAAGUCAUUGCAACCUUUUCCAUUCCUACAAUAA